AUACUUACCUGGCAGGGGUGACACCAUGAUCAAGCAGGUGGUUUUCCCAGGCUGAGGCUUUCCAUUGCACUGAGGAUGUGCUGACACCUGCGAUUUCCCCAAAUGUGGGAAACUCGACUGCAUAAUUUGUGGUAGUGGGGGCUGUUUGUGCUCUCCCCUG
rnacentral:snRNA from 1 species